rnacentral:rRNA from 1 species
GAGAUAGCUGGUUCUCUCCGAAAUAGCUUUAGGGCUAGCCUCAAGUGAUGAUUAUUGGAGGUAGAGCACUGUUUGGACGAGGGGCCCCUCUCGGGUUACCGAAUUCAGACAAACUCCGAAUGCCAAUUAAUUUAACUUGGGAGUCAGAACAUGGGUGAUAAGGUCCGUGUUCGAAAGGGAAACAGCCCAGACCACCAGCUAAGGUCCCAAAAUAUAUGUUAAGUGGAAAAGGAUGUGGCGUUGCCCAGACAACUAGGAUGUUGGCUUAGAAGCAGCCAUCAUUUAAAGAGUGCGUAAUAGCUCACUAGUCGAGUGACACUGCGCCGAAAAUGUACCGGGGCUAAACAUAUUACCGAAGCUGUGGAUUGUCCUUUGGACAAUGGUAGGAGAGCGUUCUAAGGGCGUUGAAGCAUGAUCGUAAGGACAUGUGGAGCGCUUAGAAGUGAGAAUGCCGGUGUGAGUAGCGAAAGACGGGUGAGAAUCCCGUCCACCGAUUGACUAAGGUUUCCAGAGGAAGGCUCGUCCGCUCUGGGUUAGUCGGGUCCU